AUCUCGUCCUCUGUCGUCCCCUUCUCCUUGUGCCCUCCAUCUUUCCCAACAUCAGGGUCUUCUCCAGGGAGUCUUCUCUUCUCAUGAGGUGGCCAAAGUAUUGGAGCCUCAGCUUCAGGAUCUGUCCUUCCAGUGAGCACUCAGGGCUGAUUUCCUUCAGAAUGGAGAGGUUGGAUCUUCUUGCAGUCCAUGGGACUCUCAAGAGUCUCCUCCAGCACCAUAAUUCAAAAGCAUCAAUUCUUCGGUGAUCAGCCUUCUUUAUGGUCCAGUUCUCACUUCCAUACAUCACUACUGGGAAAACCAUGGCUUUAACUAUACGGACCUUUGUUGGCAGGGUGAUGUCUCUGCUUUUUAAGAUGCUGUCUAGGUUUUUCAUUCCUUUUCUCCCAAGAAGCAGGCGUCUUUUAAUUUCGUGACUGCUGUCACCAUCUGCAGUGAUCCUGAACCCAAGAAAGUAAAAUCUCUCACUGCCUCCAUUUCUUCCCCUUCUAUUUGCCAGGAGCUGAUGGGACCAGUGGCCAUGAUCUUCGUUUUUUUGAUGUUGAGCUUCAGACCAUAUUUUGCGCUCUCCUCUCCUCUCCUCUCCUCUAUUUUGCGCUCUCCUCCAUGCACAGCUUACCACCAAGUUAAACCCCAGUCUGGGCCAAAAUCCUGCCAAAUGUUCUGGCAAGAGGGGGGAGUGCGCAUUCCAGAGCUCCCAAAUCCCCACUGUGCCAACACACCCACCUACCCCACUGGUGCCUCACUUGCCGUUCAGAUUCCCACCCCCCCUUCACAACCAAUCACAAACAAACCUAUAACGAGACCAAAUUUGGCCUGUGCUCAAAGAGUAUUUUGUUUUAACGUGAUAGCAGGCUAACACAAUAAAGAACGCCGGGGCAGCUGAUCACCACCAAAUGUGGGCUCCGGUUUUGUCUUAAAAGCUGCCGAAAUCAGCGAGAUGAGAGGAAACCCCCAAAUGCCUAACAUGUGCAAGCUAUAAAGGUUCCGAACCCCGAAAGAUGACAGUAAUGGGGUUUGGCAGGCAGCUCCAUUAAGGAGUCAAAGUUUCCAGUCUCGCCCACCUUCUCUGUGGCUGUGGUAUAAUUCAGUUCUGGAUGCAAGGAGACGCAGACACGGAGUCGCACCACGGGCCCAUUGAGUCCAAUAAUAUCUGAAAGUGGAAUUCCAAAAUCUGUGCCAGACAUCUCCUGCGCCCCUGAGAGGUGGGAUCCUUUAAGUGGCGUUUGUUGCCAGCAGCUGGAUCUGCAAACUAUGAAGAAUGUGGUACAGCAUCUGCCUUGCUUGCAAACGGUCCCAGUUUCAGUCUCUUGAAGAGUCUCCAGAUAAGAAAUCACACCUCUCUGAAACCCCAGAAAGCCCACUGACAGCCAGGGCAGACCAGACAAUUCCCCCAGCCAGGUGCCUGCCUCCUGUGGCAGUGAGUUCCAUAGGGAUUCUUUUUUUGGAGGGGGUUGCUAUGAAUAAGGUUUUAUUUCUUUAAUAAACAAAAUAAACCAAAGACAAAGGGCAUAAAGAAAUACUGUUACAGCAGGUUUGGAAGCAGGGUAAGGUUGGACCUCGUCACUGAAUUUGUUGUUCCAAAACAUUACAAAAAAACCCCACCAAUUUUCUCCGUAGCUUUAUCAUAGUCGCUGUGGACCAAAUUUUCUCAGUCCAUUUAGAUAUUGUAGGAGAUACAGUUUUUUCCAGUGCUUUUUUCUGGGGGGAGAGACGCAUACCCCUAAGCAUUUUGUGAAUCUUUGUACUUUUGUCCAUUUCUGUAUUUAUUUUCCCCCAUUUGAACUAUAAAAUGGUGAGAUUACCUUUAAACAUUUUUUUAAAGAAAAAAGCACUGUUUUUUCUUUCUUUUGAUUUUUAGCUAUUAAAAAAGCAUUUGGCUGUUCAGAAAGAUUGCGGCCUCCAGUUGUGAAGAGCGUUGCCAGUCUGACUAGCAGCCUUCUCCUCCUCCGUGAAAUUCCCCAAUCCUCUUUUAAAGCCAUCCGGGUUUGUGGCCAUCACUGCUUCCUGUGGCGGGGAGUUCCACAGUCUCACCAUGUGCUGUGUGAAGAUCCUCCGACAAACCAGUGAGGACAUCUGUGCCAGUCUCAAUUUACCCUCUGGGAGCAGACCCAAGCGAUGCCUCCUGGUUUAGUUGGUCCCAUCCGCCUCCUGUAGGAAUGAUCGCUGGGUUGUGGAACACACUUCCGCCCGCAGGCAGCCUCAGCUGUCUGCGUGCGUGACCUUGGGGUGUGGAGCACACUCCCCGCCCCCGAGAUAAAGCCACAGCUGUCUGAACAUCAUGCCCUCUAUCUAACCUUUGCUCUCUUAGUGGUCUUCCGUGCCCUGUCUGUGACCUUAGUCUCCUUCGUCACACAUUGUGCAAGGGGGAAAUGACGCAGUGGAAACAGGUGCCAUUAUAACUUUGUACCACCCCACGAUCUCAGGAUUGGAAGAUGUGUAAAGGUCACAGUCCAAAAUGUAUCUGACUGGUUUUGCAUAUUGUGCCAAUAAAAGGAGCUUCUGCAGAGCUAGCCACCAGCUUGCCUGAGCACAGCUCACCUGCAUUACAACUCCUGCCUCAUGUCCUUCACUUCAACUACGAUCCCUAGCCUAGAGGAGAGCAGAGCCAAAAGAUUGCCCCUCGCCGGCCAGAGACUUCCUACCACCAUGUGACGUUGGAUUGUGACGUGGAUGUCAAAAGUAAGCGGAGUUAUCUGUCCUGAAUCUUCCAGCACUCAACUUCAAUUUCUCUACGAUUGUUUUUGCUGUUGUUGUUGUUGUUAAAUUUAAUUUACAGUGGUACCUCUGGUUAUGUACUUAAUUCGUUCCAGAGGUCUGUUCUUAACCUGAAACUGUUCUUAACCUGAAGCACCACUUUAGCUAAUGGGGCUUCCUGCUGCCGCCACGCUGCCGGAGCACGAUUUCUGUUCUCAUCCUGAAGCAAAGUUCUUAACCCGAGGUACUAUUUCUCCGUGAGUAGACUCUGUAACCUGAAGCGUAUGUAACCCGAGGUACCACUGUAUAUUCCUGCCCUCAGUUGAUGAUCUCAGAGCAGGGAUUCAUGCCACACAUACUUUUAUAAGCUUCUAUCACAUUGCCUCUGACUCGCCUUUUCUCUAAACCAGUGGUUCCCAACCUUUUUUUGCCCAUGCCCCACCUAAAGACAGCAGGUGGCGCUGUGGUCUAAACCACUGAGCCUCUUGGAAUUGCCGAUCAGAAGGUCAGUGGUUUGAAUCCCCACGACGGGGUGAGCUCCCGUUGCUCGGUCACUGCUCCUGCCAACCUAGUAGUUCAAAAGCACGCCAGUGCAAGUAGAUAAAUAGGUACCACUGUGGCAGGAAGGUAAACGGCAUUUCCAUGCGCUCUGGUUUCCGUCACGGUGUCCCGUUGCACCAGAAGCGGUUUAGUCAUGCUGGCCACAUGACCUGGAAAGCUGUCUGUGGACAAACUCCGGCUCCCUCAGCCUGAGAGCGAGAUGCGCGCCGCAACCCCAUAGUCGCCUUUGACUGGACUUAACCAUCCAGGGGUCCUUUACCUUACCUAAACAUAUCUAAAAUCCUGAUGCCCCACCCUCUGACCAACAUAUAAUUCUUAUUAUUCAAAAAGUGAAUUCCUUUUCAUGUGCAGGAAGCCUAAAAGGCCAUUAACUUAGUCUAAACAAGCUUCCAAACAACAUGGCAUCCAUGAAAAAGAAAAGAGCGAAAGGGCAGUUGAAGUACUGUCCAUUGUCACCAGCUGACCAUGUGUACAUUCUGAUUUUAAUUUUAAAAACGUGCAUGUCACAAUAUAUAUUUAAUACUGUAUGUGAGGUCCCUAGAAGCAUAAGAAAUGAAAAAAAAAAAUCACUGUUAAUAACUCAUUCCCGAAUUGCCCCCCUUAAAAAUCAUAUUGCCCCCCUGUGGGAACCACGGCUCUAAACUGAGACGUUCCAAAUGUGGCAGCAUUUCCUCAUCAGGGAGUAGCUUCUCCUUGAUCAUUCUGAGUGCCCUAUCCUGAACAUUUUCCAACCCUUUGUGGUGUGGAGGCCAGCACUGCCCCCUUUGCCCUCUCCUGAAGCAGAGAGGAUAUGCAUGGUUCCUCUCUUCUCUUCCAGCACUGGAGCCCCUGCUGUAACCACUGCAUCGCACUGCCUCCCUCCUCCUGCCCAUUGCAAUCUACAUUUUUAUAAGCCGCACAGCAUGGAUUCCAGGCUACUGCAAUCUGCAGCAAGCCACUAAAACCUGCCCAUAAACCAUCUCCAAACUUCCUUGUUAUAACUAACCCUACAUUAAGAAGGAGGCUGGGCUUUUUACAGCGCUCUUUGAUUCCGAAAUCUACAAUGAAAUGGAUAUAAGAUACAGCAAUGAAUCUCGGCUAGGAGACAUUUAAACAGAACCGGCAUAAACUUUAAAGCCUCUCGCUUUUUUAUUUUCCCCUCCCUCCUCUGCACUCUCUAUCUCUCUUUAAAAAGUUAUUGCUCUUCAUCCCCCCUCCUUUCCUUUAAAAAGGGACGGCUACCCCCUGCCUGACAAUGUCUGUUCUAUAAAUCCAGGGGAACAAAGCGACGUUCAGAUCAGCAAGGCGACGGGCAGAGAACAAAGGCGGAUUCUGACAGGAGCGCUUGGGCUUUCAUCCCCCCAGGAAAAAUUAUUAGUAGAGCGCGGAGAAUGACAUCACUGCUUUCCAGAUGUGAAUUUCAUAUUUGGAUCGCACAAUCGGCAGGCGUUGGAAGGGAGGCGGCACGAGACGAGCGCCAAGGUCAGGCCAAGGGAAGGUAACACAUACCACGGCGUCCUCUGUUGUGGGGGUGCAGACCUGGAUCCGACAGGUGGGCUGGAUCCUGUCUUUCUUCACCCCACACGGGGCAAGUCUGGCAGGUGAUUAGAGCUGCGUACCUGUCAGUCAGCUGACAUCACAAUGACAUCAGCUGACCUGUUUUUCCAGAGCUUUGCAAGCCCUGGGAAGCAGCUGCUCACCGGGCUUUCAAAGCUUCAGCAACCCAAGGCUUUUCACAGGGCUUGGCAGGUGCUGUCAGUCAACUGGUUGGCAUUGCUUGCAGCACAACCCUCCCACCCCCCAACUUUGACCCAUACACAUAUACCACAGGAAGAACAAGGGCACAUUAUAGGAUUUACUCCAAAAAUCUUCUCUGAAAAUUGCCUGAAGGUCAGCCCUUGCAAGAUACAGUCAUACCUUGAGUUGAAUAUGCUUCGGGUUGAGCGUGUUUGAGUUGCUCUCCACGGCAACCCGGAAGUAACGGAGAGCGUUACUUCCGGGUUUCGCCGCUCGCGCAUGUGCAGACGCUCAAAAUGACGCCACGCGCAUGCGUGGAAGCGGCAAAACACGACCCGCACACGCACAGAUGCACCGUUGUGUCUUGCGUUGGGUUCAGGAUGCGAAUGGGGCUCUGGAACGGAUCCCGUUCACAUCCCGGGGUACCACUGUACAUGCUUUUCCACCCCACUCCACCCACCCAUCGUAAAGAUAGCUGUCAACCUUCCCUUUUUUUGCGGGAAAUUCCCUUAUUCCAGUGCCGUUUCCCAUUGCUUCCCGCUGCUAUCCCGGAUUGUUAGAUAUCCCUUAGACUGCCCCCGGGACAGGUGGGGCUGCUGAUCCCUUAUUUUCAAGGCUGCUGAUGCCUUAUUUUCAAAUCUGAAAUUUGACAGCUAUGGUCGUAAAGACCACUCGUCCUUUGCUAGUGGGCAAGAAAACCGACAGCCUCACACACAAGUCCUGAAAGCUCUGGAACAAGAUGGCCGCUUCUCGACAAAUUAGAACUGCUUAGUUGUUUUUUACCAGCGAAAGAGAUAAUUUUGCUCUAACGGUGGUUUUAAACUCUUCCAUUUACUUAGCGGCGCAGAGAAAAGAGAUGAAAAUGAGCGCGAAUGCCGGGGCCUGCCCCCUCUUCUCCCUAAAUGUCUUUUCAUCUCCUUCGCCUCCCGGUGUGUUAAUAGCUUUCUGCUUUCAUGGUGCAGAGAGCUGCGUUUGCUGACCCAGCAACCCAAUCUCCUGCUGAAACACCACAGCCCUCGCUGAGGAGGGUUAUUAGCACGCCAUGGCAAAAGCAAACAGGCUGAUGGGAUUUUAAUGGGCUCCUAAUGGGUCAGCACCACGACUGGCAGCCGCCAUGAGGAAUAGCUGCACCCAGACCCAAGUCUGCCUCUCCACCUCCUUCCCUUCCUUGUCUGCAACCUGAGAGCUCAUCACAUCCCCGUUGUGAUGUUUGAUUCUGUAGUGGAAGGAAGGAUCGCUGCUACAUGGUGGCCCUUGUUUUCAUGGGCCCCUUUCCUUGACCUGAAACACCAGGGAAAUGUUCCUCUACUGUGUGAGAGCAUCAGCAGAGCCCUGCAAGAUCAGGCCACUGGUCCAUCUACUCCAGCAUCCUUUUUUUACAACGGCCAACCAGAUGUCUCUAGGAAACCCACAAGCAGGACUCAAGCCCAAGAGUUCUCUCAGCUCCGGCGGUUGACAGCAACUGGUAUUCAGAAGCAUUGCUUUCUCCAGCUGCGGAGGCUGUCAGGUGUGCGUGCAGGAGCCAGGCCCUGUGACCAGUAGGGCUUCGCAGGACUGGGGCCUUCCUAAGUUUGUUCUGGAGAGGCAAGGCACGGCCGCACAGGUGAGGCCGAUUGGUAACUCACAGCACCUGGUGGCAAGAGCCGGGAAGGGAUAUAAGGUCAGCAUUUCCCUUCGGCUUUUUGCCACAGCAACAUGUUCCCUGCCUUGCUGCGUUUAACUCCUUGCUUCUUGAGCCUCGGACCCCUGGCUUCGUGACUCCUUGCUUCUUGAUCCUUGGACCCCUGACUCCUGACUCCUUGAUCCCUGGACCCCUGACUUUGUGACUCCUUGCUCCUUGAUCCUCGGACCCCUGACUUCAUGACUCCUUGCUUCUUGAUCCUCGGACUCCUGACUUCGUGACUCCUUGCUUCUUGAUCCUCGGACCCCUGACUUCAUGACUCCUUGCUUCUUGAUCCUUGGACCCCUGACUCCUGACUCCUUGAUCCUCGGACCCCUGACUUCAUGAAGCCUGGCUCUGACCCUCGGACUCUUGGCUUCCUGACUCCUGGCUUCUGGACCCCCGUUCCUGCUCCCACCCCGCCAUCUUGCCCCCGGUCCCAACAUCCCCAGCCGGGACUUUGAUCGCCUGUGAACCGGACCGUGACAGAGGCAGAGCACAGCCAUUAGGGCUAGCAGCCUUGGAUAGCCCUCUUCUCCAUGAAUUGGUCCAUUAAAUCCAUCUAGGUUGGUGGCUAUCAUUGCUUCCUGAGGCAGCGAGUUCCACAGUUUAACCAUACACUGCAUGAAGAAGGACUUCCUUCUAUCUGACCCUAAUCUUCCAACUUUCAGCAUCGUUGGGUGUUCACAAACUCUAGUGUUAUGAGAGAGGGAGAAAUUCAGACCCUCCAAGUGUCCCUAUUUCCAAGGAAAAAACCUGGAUUUACAGAAGCCAUCCCAGUUUCUGACUUUAUCCUGGAAUGUCCCGCUUUUCCUUAGGAUGUCAGACAAAUGUUGGAGGGGAUGGAAAUCUAUCCUCUUUCUUCCCACUGUGCAUAAUUUUGUACACUUCAAUCUUCUUCGCCGUUCCCUAAACUAAAAGGUUCUGAAUGCUACAACUUUUCCACAUGGGGGGGCCACUCCAUAGUUGCAUGCCCAGACAUCCCCACCCCCCACCCUGGCCCUAUGGACCACCCAAAAUCCAUGAAUAAUGAGACACGGCAACUAAUGUUUAGGUCAAAAUCAAGCCACAGCUUUAUUGAGUGCAGAUGUAAGAAGUUUGGCAUAGGUGUUGGGUAGAACCAACCACUUCUGGCCCGCCUGCCGGAAGGUCUUAGAUUUGGGGUCAACCGGAAGUGAAGGAGUCCUUGAUCCACAUCAAGGAGUCACUGGAUUGCACCUGGGGAGUGUGGGAUGUGAUACAUAAGUAGCAGUCAAGUACAAUAUUCCUUGUUUUCCUAGAGUGGACAUGCGGGGGAAUGUUUGGUCCAGCCAGUUGAAAACUUCCUGUUUCCUCCUGGCUGGGACAUACUUCCUUUGCAUGUGAGUAGUGGUGGGCGUGACCUUACCUGCCCAGGUAACAAAAGGGCAAGGCACGCAGCAAACCCUCUCUCUUUGACUUCCUCUUUCCCAUCUUCCUUUCGUUGUGUGAACUACAGUGACUGGCAGUCUGCAGUCACUGGGAUUAACCCCCCAUAUGUGGUAAAUCCACAUGUAUAUACUUUGUAGCUAAGUCUGCCUUCAGGGAUCCAACUGUGAACUGAUGAUGUGAGUAAACUUCUUUUAUAUAUACCAGAGGUAGGCAAACUAAGGCCUGGGGGCCAGAUGCGGCCCAAUCGCCUUCUCAAUCCGGCCCACAGAUGGUCCAGGAAUCAGUGUGUUUUUACAUGAGUAGAACAUGUCCUUUUAUUUAAAAUGCAUCUCUGGGUUAUUUGUAGGGCAUAGGAAUUCGUUCAUUUUUUCCCAAAAAAUAUAGCUCAGCCCACCACAUGGUCUGAGCCCACGGUGGACUGGCCCACGGCUGAAAAUGUUUGCUGAACCCUGAUAUAUACUUUACACAAGAUUGUGGCUUGUUUAUUCUUUUAAGAGAGAUUAAAAGGGAACUUACCAGGAACCUAGGGACGCUGUGGUCUAAAUCACAGAGCCUAGGACUUGCCGAUCAGAAGGUCGGUGGUUCGAAUCCCCGCGACGGGGUGAGCUCCCAUUGCUUGGUCCCUGCUCCUGCCAACCUAGCAGUUUGAAAGCACGUCAAAGUGCAAGUAGAUAAAUAGGUACUGCUCUGGUGGGAAGGUAAACGGCGUUUCCGUGCACUGCUCUGGUUCACCAGAAGCGGCUUAGUCAUGCUGGCCACAUGACCCGGAAGCUGUACACUGGCUCCCUUGGCCAAUAAAGCGAGAUGAGCGCCACAACCCCAGAGUCGGCAACAACUGGACCUAAUGGUCAGGGGUCCCUUUACCUUUACCUUUUACCAGGAACCUAAUAUUGAGAUGCUUAAAUAAGCCUGCAACCAGUUAUUUGCUGUGCAUUUAAAAGGGGAAUGUUUUUAAAGAAGUAAAACUCUGCUAAGUUAUAGAACUUGCUAGAGCAAGUUAGGACGGAUAUGAAUAAACAAUAUAUCCUCUCCUGCCUCCCUGAACAUUCCUGCAGGGAGUGCUGUGGCCCUAGCCCUGUCCAGACAGAAACCUCUCCCACUUCUGAGCCCACCCCCUGGGAGUGACCUGUCCCCUCGUCCCGCUCACAAUUGGCCAGCUGAGCGAUCGGGCAGGAUCCGCUUCCCAGGCGGCAAGCUCAGUCCAAGGACUUCCUUUGCUGCCCGGUAAGCAGCCCAAGGGGCCCCGUCCGUCAGAUCGUGGAGGGUGGAUGGAAAGGUGACCCGCAAACAGUGCCCACCCAGAAGGGUUGAGGGGACUUCUCAGGAGCAAGAGCAGUUAGAAAAAGGGCAACCUCAAAGCUGCUCUUGCUCGCUUGGCAGGGAGGGAAUUCAACUUCUGUUAGAAAGGGUUGGCAGAGUAGUAUUGCAGAACCUGUGAUAAAUGCAAUCCUAUCAUUGCAUCUACAAGUCUCAUUUAUAUGGAAGGCUGACCAGCUGGAAAUGGGCCUUGUCUGUUCUGUUCCUGCCAUCCCCUGUGAAAGCAAUAUGAGUUCUUGAGCCUGAUUUAGAAGCAGCCCCAUUUUUUUUUCAUGUUUGAAUGAAAUGCCUGGAGGUUCUGAUAUCCUAAUUAAUGAUUCCCCGGGGCUGACUCCUGGGCAGGCAUCACUGGAUUGCUGCCUAAAGCUACAAUCCCAUCUGGCCCUGUUUAGGAGCAAAUAGCUUUGAACUCCGAGGAGUUUUCUUUGGAGCAGCGUGUGAAAGGUUGGGUUGCAUGCGAGGAGAAAAUAUCAGCCACUUUGCAGCCUUCUCUUAUUCUGAAAUGGACAGUUUGUGGCAGGUAUGGGGAACCAGGUUGAUGAAACACAACUCCCAACCGCAAGGAUGGCCAGUGGCAAGGGAUGAUGGGAGUCGUAGUUCAGGAAAUAUCUGGAGGGCCAGAGGUUGCCCACACCUGGCUUAUAGGAUGCUUAUUGGAAAGAUCCUGCUUCUAUUGGACAAUGCAACCCUCAGAAAAGCAUCCUGAGUGGAUUUGGGUUGUGUUUUUUUACCAUGAGUAAUUUUCUGGGAAGUAUAUAAAUAAAUUUCAUGUUGUUUUCUUACAUAAAGCAAUCCAACAUCUUAAAUUCUAAUUAUUACUAUUAUACCAGUGUGGUGUCCCUCCUAUGCCACUCACAAGGCAACUUUGUUCUUAAUGAAUUUACUAAAUAGUUUAAGAUUCCAGUCCAAUUAAUGUUAACUCAGAAGUGAAGCCCAACGAAGCUCAAUUGGCCUUACUCCCCGGUAAGUAUAGAUCUGUAGCCUAAAUCUUAUUAAGACUGUAUUUCAGAAACAUGUGUGAUAAUGUUUAAAUUAAAACAAGUAAAUAGAAUAAGAAAAAAGCAUACUUUUUAUAAUGUAAAAAUUCACAGGUAAGAAUAGAAGAAUUGUCCUCCCUGUCCACAAAUUCUGAAAUGGACAGAAGAGGGAGGAGGAGGAGGAGAUAAUGAAGAUGAUGAUGAUAAGAAUGAAGGAGGAGAAGAAGAAGAAGAAGAAGAAGAAGAAGAAGAAGAAGAAGAAGAAGAAGAAGAAUGCUGUGGUGACAAUGAAGAUGGUGAUGAAAACAGAGGAGAAGAAGAUGUUAACUUUCUGAUUUACUCCUUUCCUUAUAAUUUAGCCCUUGGUUUCCCCUCAUUUCCAAGUCUGCUAAUUACAGGAGUGUCUGGCGUGCUCUGGUCCAUGGGGUCAUGAAGAGUCGGACACGACUAAACGACUAAACAACAACAACAACAUACUGGAACAAGAUAUCCUGCAUUUAUGGUGUUUCUGCAGCCCUGUGUACCCAGUUUGUUAUUAAAUAAUAAAACUUCCCGGAGCAACGCAGACCCAAUCGGUGAAUUCCAAUAAGGCUACACUUCAAGGGUAGGUCUGGUCACAGAACUGCCAGCAGGAGAUCCCUCUCCUGUAGAUCUCAAACAAACACACACCCACACCCCACUGGGCAAGUCUAUCUGAGAAGAGAGCCUUGUCCUUGCAAGGUUCUGGGCCACGAUUCGGGCUGCUCCUCUCCUCCCCUCCCGCCAGAGCCCAGCCCUUCCAUCUGGUGGGGUGCCUAUUCAGCACUUACUCGAAAUUGCUUUCCCAAUUGCGCUGAGCUGUACCUGCUGCAAUAUUAAAAGGUUAUGGAGGUUUUAUGGAGGCCUGCCACUGACAGUGCCUAUGAAUUUCAAUGCCAUUUGCAUUGCAGGCGAGAGAGCCAGCGUUAUCUCCCAAAUCUCUUGCGUCCGCAGGCUCCUGGCACUUUCUUUAAAGCUUCCAUGAAUCCCCACGAAAAGCAGCUCCCAGUCACGCUUCCACCUGGGGAAAAAGACAUUGUGAUCUUAAGAUCAAGAAAUGUCUUGCGGGAUCAUUAGCAGCUCACUUAGUCCAGUAUCACUGAGCAACAGGAAGCAACUAUAUACCAAGGUAAAGGUAAAGGGACCCCUGACCAUUAGGUCCGGUCGUGGCCAACUCUGGGGUUGCGGCGCUCAUCUCACUUUAUUGGCUGAGGGAGCCGGCAUACAGCUUCCAGGUCAUGUGGCCAGCAUGACUAAGCCGCUUCUGGCGAACCAGAGCAGCGCACGGAAAUGCCGUUUACCUUCCCGCCUGAGCGGUACCUAUUUAUCUCCUUGCACUUUGACGUGCUUUCGAACUGCUAGGUUGGCAGGAGCAGGGACCGAGCAAUGGGACCUCACCCCAUCGCAGGGAUUCGAACUGCUGACCUUCUGAUUGGCAAGCCCAAGAGGCUCUGUGGUUUAACCCACAGUGCCACCUGCAUCCCUGUACCAAGGUAAAAAGGUAAAGGUAAAGGGACCCCUGACCGUUAGGUCCAGUCGUGGCCAACUCUGGGGUUGCAGUGCUCAUCUCACUUUAUUGGCUGAGGGAGCCGGCAUACAGCUUCCAGGUCAUGUGGCCAGCAUGACUAAGCCGCUUCUGGUGAACCAGAGCAGUGCACAGAAACACCGUUUACCUUCCCGCUGGAGCGGUACCUAUUUAUCUACUUGUACUUCGUGCUUUCGAACUGCUAGGUUGGCAGAAGCAGGGACUGAGCAACUGGAGCUCACCCCGUCACGGGGAUUCGAACUGCCAACCUUCUGAUCGGCAAGUCCUAGGCUCUGUGGUUUAACCCACAGCGCCACCUGUGUCCCAAUAUACCAAAUAGGCAGCUUGAAAUCAUUGAGCCCAAGUUUGGGAAACACUGAUGUGCUCCAAUGCCCUGCAAUGCAGAAAUCGCCACUAAAGAAUCCCUGACAGGUGGCAAUUUGGCCUCUGCUUAAAAGCCCCCAAUACCAAGAUGAAGGUCUACUAGGUUUGUGUCUUGAGCUCGCUGCUUGAUGGAAGUGAGUCGUGGGCAGCUUACAACCUCCAGGAGCAACACAUCCAAGCCUUCCACAUGUGCUGUUUCAGGAAGACUUUGAGCACCACAGGGCAGGACAGAGUCUCAAACAAAGAUGUGGUCUCCCACACCCACAUUCCCAGCAUGUUCACACUCCUGUCUCAGUGUCAUCUAGGCUGGCUAGGCCAGAAUUUUAGGAGCAAGAAAUUGGAAAAACACAACAAUACCCAACAUGGAAGAUUGGCAAAUCCUAAUGGUAGAAUAUCUGCAGCUAGGAAAAACGACAGGAAGAGUAAGAGGUCAACCAAAACAAAAAGUCUAUAAGGAUUGGAGAAUCUUUAAAGAAUAUUUAGAAAACCAUGGAAUAAAAGGAAACAUCUUGGCAUAAUUAGACUGAUCCCUGUAUUGUAUAAAUAUAAGUUUGUAGGGAGGUACAAAGAAAUUAUAUAUGAAAUAUAUAACAGUGUGGUAUAAAGUAAUGGAUAGAAAAAGUACAGUGAGAUUAAUUGGAGGUCAGUUUUAAAUUUCUUUUCUAUAAAUUUUAUAAUUGUGUUCAAUACCAGGAGUAUAUAUGAUGAUAAUUAUAUUAAUCUUCUUAUAUCUUAUAGUGUGGUGGUUUGUUUGAUUUUUCUGUUAUUUGUUUGUUUGUUUGUUUGUUUGUAUGUUUGUUUACUUGUCUGUACAUCUGUUUUUCAUAAAUGUAUUUAUUAUAAAUUAAUAAAGAUAUAUUUUUUUAAAAGAAUAUGUAAUGAGCACUGAUCCUUAGCCCACAUCUUGUGUUUGUAUUGUUGUGAUUGGUUCUUAUUGCAACAAAGGGGUUUGUUUCUGAGUCAUGUAUCCACAGCAGUGACCAGAGGAGGAAUGACGACUGGGAGGAGCACAGAACAGCAAAACUGGACUCCUUCCUCUGCCCCAGCUGCAACAAAACAUGUCUCUCCCUUAUCAGUCUCUGCAGCCACUGCAGGUGCUGUAACUCUCCAACAGUUUGAUGUCACCCCCAAAGGUGCACUCCUCCAUUGUCUCCUGAGACAGACAGAUGCCAAUAAAAAAUCAGUCCUAAUUUAUCUCAUUGCACUCUCAUAUGCAGUUCAGCAAAUUAUGCUUUUUCCUGACGGAAAGAGAGUUAGCAUUCGGAUUCCUGCUGGCAUUUUGAAUUGUACCUUUAUUAAUCAUUGUUGUGUGGUUUUGAUGUUUGCUCUGCAAGCCUCUUUAGAGGGUUUAUACUAGAGGAAGAGAAAGUGGGACACAGAUCGAUAGAAUAAAUAAAACAAACUUGUUGGCUUCAAAGAACUUUGUACCGCUUUAAAAAAAAAACAGUUUGAAAAGGAGAUACUGCUCUUGGUUGGGAAACUAGAUAACUCGUUACUUCCAUUUGGGAGAUGAGUGUUUGCUUUUAGAAGACGAAAACUGGGUUGGGCAUGUUGCAACGAAGAGAUGUUCCGUUCAGUUUGCAUUUUAAUGCCAACCUCCCUCAUUUGCACUUCCUGAAACAAUCCAUGAACUGAAACACAGUUCUCCUCCGAAAUUCACACUUCUCAAGAUUUGACAAUAUCUGGUUCUCCAACCAAAACAUGUGAUCCCAAAUGUGUCUGUCGGGGCAAAAGUGUGAAUCAAAAUGCACACACGCCUGUGAAAAUAACAUGCAAGAAUGCAGUACAUAUAUUACGGGGGAAAUUGCACACACAAAAUAUCUCUUGUUGCAAGUUAGGAGGCUCAGUUUGGCUGGUGCCCUGAGUGCCUUCCGAAUCUUGGGAUCCUGCAUCUGUGGGGGCAGAUGGUAUGGGAUGCCAGUGGUCUCUAGGUGAUGGCUUUCGCUGACUAGUUAAGCACUAAAAAAGUUGCAAAGUGUCAUAGAACAAAGGCAGGGGCUUCCUUUCACUCCAUUAGCUGAUAGGUAAGAUCAUGGCCACUGGUCCCAUCAGUUCCUGGCAAAUAGAAGGGGAAGAAAUGGAGGCAGUGAGAGAUUUUACUCUCUUGGGCUCCAUGAUCACUGCAGAUGGUGACAGCAGUCACGAAAUUAAAAGACACCUGCUUCUUGGGAGAAAAGUGAUGACAAACCUAGACAUCGUCUUAAAAAGCAGAGACAUCACCUUGCCAACAAAGGCCCAUAUAGUUAAAGCUAUGGUUUUCCCAGUAGUGAUGUAUGGAAGUGAUAGCUGGACCAUAAAGAAGGCUGAUCGUCGAAGAAUUGAUGCUUUUGAAUUCUGGUGCUGGAGGAGACUCUUGAGAGUCCCAUGGACUGCAAGAAGAUCAAACCUCUCCAUUCUGAAGGAAAUCAGCCCUGAGUGCUCACUGGAAGCACAGAGCCUGAAGCUGAGGCUCCAAUACUUUGGCCACCUCAUGAGAAGAGAAGACUCCCUGGAAGAGACCCUGAUGCUGGGAAAGAUGGAGGGCACAAAGAGAAGGGGACAGCAGAGGACAAGAUGGUUGGACAGUGUUCUCAAAGCUACCAGCAUGAGUUUGACCAAACUGUGGGAGGCAGCGGAAGACAGGAGUGCCUGGCGUGCUCUGGUCCAGGGGUUCACGAAGAGUCGGACACGACUAAACAACUAAACAAAGGAGAACGAUAGCCAGAAUAAUGUGUGAGAGCUGAGCUGGAAGCAGGCUGGAAGCUGGAGACACAGAGACCUGCUUGCUCUGUGCUGGAUUCAAAGCCAGUGUCAAUUUUGCUGCCUUCGCAGCACUAGGCAUAUCCUUUCUGCUUUCCUCAGGCUCUUGAUUUCUAACUUCUAGCGCAGCUGCUUUAGUCCGUGCACUUAACUUGCUGUUUUAUAUAUUGCUGCAGCAUUUUUAAUCUCUUUUCUUAUAUUGCUGCUUCCUCUUGGAGGUGUGUAAGCUGCUUUGCGACUGAAGGGAAAGGGAGGCAAUCUUAAAAAAAGAGACAAACUAGGCCACGGCUCUGUCGCCUCAGCAUGGAUGUUGCUGUCUUGCUGCCCUCCGUCCUGACCCCUCCUGGGUGGUGCUGCCUCCAUCUCAUUCUGCAAUCUCAGCUCCUUGCUUUGCAGCAGACCAGAUUUCGGUCUUCACCGCCAGGGGCUGGCGGGCCACGGCCACCUUGGCUGAUGGGCCUUGAAUGUUCUCCUGUCUCUCCAAAGCUGCUCCGCUGGCAGAGAGAUGCCAAGAGCGGCAGGCAGCAAACAAACAAACAAAAAAUCACCCCUCCAGCUCUUUGGAGAGCAAAACCAAGACAGAUGGGCAAGUCUGGCCUCCGCUGGUGGUUGCAACUUGCCAGCAAGUUUAGAAAUCUGAGUGAAAGACAGGAUAUGAAAGUCAGACAGAGAUUUAUACCCAGAUAUGCAGAAUGUUGAUGUGUGCCUUUUAAUCUGUUUUCAGUUUAUCGCUGACUUUACAUUUUCUUUUGAGUGUUUUAAAUGGAUGUUUUUUGACUCUUCUUACUGAUAAUUUCAUUGUCUUCUCCUGACUGUGCCCCCAAAUCCCCCAGUAAUAAGAUCAUUAAGUUUGCAGAUGAUACAACGGUGGUUGGUUUAAUCAGGGCUGGAGAGGGGGAGGCGGCCUAUAGGAAGGAAGUUGAGCAGUUGGGGGAGUGGUUCAGGAAAAACAGCUUACUGCUUAACUCAGUUGCGCAGUAAAGGCUUCUUUGCAAUCCGCACUAGAAUGACAACUUUGUCCUGUGAAGCUCUUUGGUUUUUACCCAUUCAUGUUUGAUGGUGGGUUUUCUGCUACUGCAUUGGACACCACUUUGGACGCUCUGCAGAGAAGUGGCUUAUCGAAGCUGGAAGCGGAACGAUAUCAAAGUAUCUUUGCCUCGCAGCUGCUCCUACAGAAAAACAAAGCAACAAGCCCUUUUGCAAGAUGUUUCCCAUAUGGAAGGUAUUUCAUCACUGCAGGCAGCCAGCAAUGUGAAAAGUACAGCAGUCCACGUGAAAAGGAUUUAGGGGUCUUAGCAGACCACAAGCUUAACAUGAGUCAACAGUGUGAUGCAGUAGCAAAAAACAACAACGCCGUAAUGCUAUUCUAGGUUGCAUCAACAGAAGUCAAGUGUCCAGAUCAAGGAAGUAAUUGUUGUCGUUUAGUCGUGUCCGACUCUUCGUGACCCCAUGGACCAGAGCAUGCCAGGCCCUCCUGUCUUCCGCUGCCUCCCGCAGUUUGGUCAAACUCAUGCUGGUAGCUUCGAGAACACUGUCCAACCAUCUUGUUCUCUGCCGUCCCUUUCUCCUUGUGCCCUCCAUCUUUCCCAACAUCAGGGUCUUUUCCAGGGAGUCUUCUCUUCUCAUGAGGUGGCCAAAGUCUUGGAGCCUCAUCUUCAGGAUCUGUCCUUCCAGUGAGCACUCAGGGCUGAUUUCCUUCAGAAUGGAGAGGUUUGCUCUUCUUGCAGUCCAUGGGACUCUCAAGAGUCUUCUCCAGCACCAGAAUUCAAAAGCAUCCAUUCUUCGGCGAUCAGUCUUCUUUAUGGUCCUUUAUGCUCUCACUUCCAUACAUCACUACUGGGGAAAACAUAGCUUUAACUAUACGGACCACUCUAUUCUGCCUUGGUCAAACCUGUGUCCAGUUCUGGGCAUCAUAAUUUAAGAAAGAUGUUGACAAGCUGGAACAUGUGCAGAUGAGGGCAACCAAGAUGGUCAAAGGUCUGGAAGCCAAGCCUGAUGAGGAACGGUUGAGGGAGUUAGGGAUGUUUAGUCUGGAGAAGAGGAGGUUGAGAAGAGAUAUGAGUGUCACCUUCAAAUACCUGAAGGGUUGGCCCAUGGAAGAGGGAGCAAGCUUUUUUUUCUGCUGUUCUGGAGGGUAGGACCCAAUCCAAUGGAUUCAAGUGACAAGAAAGGAGAUUCUGACUAAACAUCAGGAAGAACUUUCUGAGAGUAAGAGCUGCUUGACCGUGGAACUGACUCCCUUGGAAACUGGACUCUGAUUCACGAGAAGCUGGAUUCUUUCACUGUGAUUCUUGCAUUGUAGGAGGCUGGACUAGAUGACCCUUAGGGUCCCUUUUAACCCUACAGUUCUACGAUUCAAUUGUUCUAGUGCCUCUCUAUAGCAAUCUUCUCCAACCCAGUACUCUCCAGACCACAAGUCCCAUCAGUCCCAUCAUGUAGUCGAAAACAUUUGGAGGGUACCUGGUUGACAAAGGUUUCUAUAUACCUCCGCUAUCUGCAUUCUCCCUUUUGAAAUAUUGGAGUGUGUGUGUGUGUGUGUGUGUGUGUGUGUGUUGAUUAACACUCCAGUUCUAGGGGAAAAACAAGGGUGAACUCUCAGCAUCUCUUUCUGAAAAAUGGGUCCCCAGUGGGAAAUGGCUCUGACUCAUUUUGGGUAUAGUUGUAAUCUUUUCUUGCAAAUGUUAAUUAAAUGAUUGAUUUACUGAGAGCUUUAACUAACUCUGAUAAGCUCACACAAUUUUCUGGCCAGUAAUUGCAUUUUCCUCCAGGGGUUAGCUAAGAAAGUGAUGUUGAGGGGCAGAGGGAGGCUUAUUCCGCACUAGAAGUUCAGUGAGAGGUUUUUGCCUUUGGGCCUUGAAGAACGCGAGAUAUGAAGCAAGUUGGACUGUUUUCUAGCAUGGCCUUAUCUCUGUUCUUUCCUCCUUCUUUCAUUUUCUCAAACAUUAGAAAUGGACCGGAAAAUGCUUGCAGCAAAAAGAGCAGCCAUCUCAAUGAGCGGUGGGAUUUUGUUUUGUUUUGUUUUUCAAGUCUCUGGCGAGGCAUGCCGCCAUACCUCAUGAAGACUCUUUGGUUCACUUCAAACAAAUGCACAUAUCUCCUUCAGGGAAAUGCUGUUUGUGGCUAUAGGAAGAAAACAUGGUUUCGCGAGUUUGUCUUUUGAUUCCAGAGCCUUUCUGCCCCAGUGUCAUUUGUGGAGCAGAUUGGAUAGGUAGUGAAAAUCAGUGGGCAAGGUCCCAUCUCCCAUCACCAAAUUUGUCAAUUUUAGGAGCCCCUGUUCCUACAUGCAGUGAAGUUAAGCAUGGAAGGAGAGGCUGUUUGACCUUUAAAAUAUGUCCUUGUGACUUCCUCCCAAAGUCAGAUUCAUGUGCUUUUCCAUACAGCAUUCAGAAAGUGUUGCACAGGCAGUAAAACCUGACUUAGUUACAGCGGUGAAAGUUCCUAAAUUAUUGUUACAGAAACACAAUAAUGGCUUGUAAGAGUCAUGUGGUCUGAGCCUGGAGCAACCAGCUCAGAACUCUUUGCAUGCUGAGCUUCUCAAGUAGCUUGAGGGGAAGAAAGGCCUUCAUUGCCUAGUCCCUCUCAAGGUGAACUAAACCUGGCAGGACAGCUUACUCUCUGGUCUUAACCCCUUCAUGCAUUAAUUAGACUUGUGCACGUUGGUGAUAUGAGGCUGGUUACUGUACACCUACACCCUUGACAAAGGCUUAAUACAGGAGGCUGUGAUGACCACCAACCUCAACGGCUUUAAAAUAGAAUUAGACAAAUUCAUGGAGAAAAGGACUAUCAAUGGCUACUAGCCCAAAUGGAUGUGCUUUGUCUUCCUUGGUCAGAGACAGCAGUGCUUCUGAACACCAGUUGCUGGAAAACACAGGUGGGGAGAGUACUCUUGUGCCCGGAUCCUGCUUGUGGUUUGCGACUGUGGGAUGUAACAUCAAUGAAGCAGUCAAAUACAACAUUUCCUGUUUGCCCAGUGGACACGCAGGGGAAUGUUGCUCCAGCCAAGAGGACUUCCUGUCACACCUGGUCUGGAGCAUCUUCCUCCUGCUUGUGACCAGGUAGAUGGGCGUGACCCUGGCAGACCCUAUAAAAGGACUAGUCACACAGCCAUCUUCCUCUCACUUUUCUUGACUCUCUUGAUGCCUUUUGCUGUCUGCUGGCUCUCAGCCAGCAGCACAUGGGCUCAUCCCUCACAGAGAAUGAAGCCACACUUUUCUCUGCAACUGUUAACUACAGGCUAAAGCCUGCCUUCAGGAUCAUACUGUGAACUGAAUGUAAACCUCAUCAUUACUUUUAAAAGAAGGCUGUUGUGUCAUUAUUGUUUUUAAGAGAGAACUAAAGGGGAUUUUGGGACCCGGGUGGCGCUGUGGGUUAAACCACAGAGCCUAGGACUUGCCGAGCAGAAGGUUGGUGGUUCGACUCCCCACGACGGGGUGAGCUCCCGUUGCUCGGUCCCUGCUCCUGCCAACCCAGCAGUUCAAAAGCAUGUCAAAGUGCAAGUAGAUAAAUAGGUACCGCUCCAGCGGGAAGGUAAACGGCGUUUCCGUGUGCUGCUCUGGUUCACCAGAAGCGGCUUAGUCAUGCUGGCCACAUGACCCGGAAGCUGUACGCCGGCUUCCUCGGCCAAUAAAGCGAGAUGAGCGCCGCAACCGCAGAGUCGGCCACGACUGGACCUAAUGGUCAGGGGUCCCUUUACCUUUACCUUUAAAGGGGAUUUGCCAGGAACAAUCCAAUCUGGACAAGCCAGACUGGAUCACUCAACUUAUAUAGUUCUAACAAAUCCAGCAACUAGCUUCCAGCAAUGUGCAAGGGAAUGUGCUCUGCUACAAUCUCACUAGCAUGUGUGAGGAAGGAUAAUAUUUAAUCAAUAUAUCCUCUCCUAAUAUCCUCAGCAUUCCCACAGCUACAAGAGGCAUCUGGUUGGCUAUUGCAAGAACAGGAUCCUGGAUAUAAGCUUUCUCUGCUUAUAUCAGGGGUCAGCAACCUCUUUCAGCCGUGGGCCCAUCCACCGUCCCUCAGAGCAUGUGGAGGGGCCGGACUAUAUUGGGGGGGGGGGGAGAACGAAUUCCUAUGCCUCACAAAUAACCCAGAGAUGCAUUUUAAAUCAAAGGACACAUUCUACUCAUGUAAAAACACACUGAUUCCUGGACCGUCCGUGGGACAGAUUUAGAAGGUGAUUGGGCCAAACAACAGCAGCAAGAGUAUUGUUAGCCCAGAAAUGGAAUCAAGAAGGAAUCCCGACAAAAGAAGAAUGGCAGACAAAAUUAAUGGACUAUGCAGAAUUAGAUAAAAUGACAGGAAGGAUUCAAAACCUGCGGGACCAGAGAUUCACAGAAGAUUGGAAGAAGUAUACGAACUAUUUGAGGAGCAACUGUAAUCAACAAAUUAUGCUAAUAGAACUACAAGAAGUUUUGUAAGGAGGAAUAUAUGAAAAAUUGCAAAGUAGAGAAAGAAUAGAGAUAUUAGUUAUGAGAUUUAAAUGUAAUAGUGAAAGUAAGAAAAAUUGAGUGAAUAGAUUGGAAAAUUUUCAGAUGUAGAAUCAUAGAAUCCUAGAGUUGGAAGAGACCACAAGGGCCAUCGAGUCCAACCCCCUGCCAAGCAGGAAACACCAUCAGAGCACUCCUGACAUAUGGUUGUCAAGCCUCUGCUUAAAGACCUCCAAAGAAGGAGACUCCACCACACUCCUUGGCAGCAAAUUCCACUGUCAAACAGCUCUUACUGUCAGGAAGUUCUUCCUAAUGUUUAGGUGGAAUCUUCUUUCUUGUAAUUUGGAUCCAUUGCUCCAUGUCCGCUUCUCUGGAGCAGCAGAAAACAACCUUUCUCCCUCCUCUAUGUGACUGAUGUGAUUGAUGGAAGUAAAAAAAAAAUUGUAUAAGAUAUAAAAGUAUGUAUAAUUAUUGUUGAAAAUGAUAUGUUAAAAAAAACUAAUAAAAUUUAUUUUUUUAAAAAAAAGAGAAGGCGAUUGGGCUGCAUCCGGACGCAGGGUCUUAGGUUACCUACCCCUGGCUUAUAUUCUUACGGCUGUGGAGAAGGUGGGGGGGCUCUCCUUCCUUAGAGGAUUUUAAACAGAGGUUGGGGGGGCCAUCUGUGAGGGAUUCUUUCCUGCAUUGCAAGCAUUUGGACCCGAAUGACCCUUGGGGUCCCUUCCAUCUCUGUAGUUCCAUGAUUCUUAACAUACCAACAUUAAUAGGUGUUGCUUCAAAGCUGUCCAUGGGGACUUCUGCUGUGAAAGACACAGCAACAAACAGACCUUGGGGUUCUGUUCAGCUGGCAAUAGGAGUCCUAGUCAAAGGUAAUCAGCUGGAAAGGGGGCAAGUUGGGGGUGAAGGCAAUGGGUGACAUUGAAGCCUUGGUGUCACUGCAGCCAAGGGCUUAGUUCUAAAGUAAAACAGCCCUGGAUAAGACAGCUGGAGAAUGUGGAACAGCAGAUAUAUAGAUAGAUAGAUAUUGUCAUUGAUUCAUAGGAUACAUGACCCCUGGCUUGGCUGUCUUGAGUCUGACCUAAUGCCAGAAGUUUCUAGUUUAGCCUGUCAGAAGAGCUUACAGGAGAUGAUGGAAGCCGGAGUUUGUGUCAAUACAAGAGGGCCUUUUGUCUGCUGCAAUAAAAAUUGCUUUAAAUUGGAGACACGGUUUGCUAAAAGAGAUUAUUGUAGGGGUUCCAGGAACUCUGGUGUCCUGGCAGCAGAGCAAUGAAAACCAUAGAGGGGGAAACUGGGGGUGUUCCUGGAAAACCCUGAGCUGCGAGGGGGCAGGUGCAGGAGACAGGGAGAUCACCUGCUGGUGACAAUGGGAAAUGGCAGAGAGGUUGCACAAAUGGGAAACAGCAUUUUCGGACCUGCAGUUUUUAAAAAAGAGGUCGCCUUUUGUGAAGCCCAAAGCCAGUUCUCAACAGCAGGGGCGGCAGGAGGCGGGGGCUAGCAAUCUGCCUUGAUGCAAUUUCAUUGCAGAGUUUUAAAAGAAAAUCUACAGCAGAAUUUAGUGGAGCACGGACACUGUGAUCUGAGCCAGAGCUCAGCCUUGGAUCACUAAAAGGGAGGUAUUAAAAUUCAUUUGAAUUAAAGUGUGUGAGAGAGGCGGGGUGGAGAGGGAGAGAGAGAGACUUUGCUAGAACUGUUUCAGGACAUUAUGAAUUAUAUUUUGCAAGGAUAAAGAAGAGUGCAGAGCUGGUGGAUUAAAUUGCAGAACUGGCCAAUCCAUUCCCUUCUGCACAUGUGUGGCAUUGUAAGGAAGCAGGGCAGCUGAGAUUGUAGGACAGCCGCCCAUGAACACAGGGGCAGUUAUUUUAUUUUAUUUUUGUAUUUCAUAACAGUUAUACACCGUUUGAUUGGUGGGGAGGGGGACCCAACCCUCGAAGUGGGUUAAGGCAAUGAAUUGAUCAACAAGAAAAAUUAGCAACAAUGAUUUAAAGCUUUCAGAAAGUUAAAACAACCACAGACUAAAGCUCAUGUCUACCUUCUAAACAUCUGGGUAAGGUAAAGGUAAAGGGACCCCUGACCAUUAGGUCCAGUCGUGGCCAACUCUGGGGUUGCGCGCUCAUCUCGCUCUAUAGGCCGAGGGAGCCGGCGUACAGCUUCUGGGUCAUGUGGCCAGCAUGACUAAGCCGCUUCUGGCGAACCAGAGCAGCGCACGGAAAUGCCGUUUACCUUCCCGCCGGAGUGGUACCUAUUUUUCUACUUGCACUUUGACGUGCUUUCGAACUGCUAGGUUGGCAGGAGCAGAGACUGAGCAAUGGGAGCUCACCCCGUCGCUGGGAUUCGAACCGCCAACCUUCUGAUCUGCAAGUCCUAGGCUCUGUGGUUUAACCCACAGCGCCACCCGUGUCCCUAAACAUCUGGGUAGGCUUGUCUAAACAAAACUGUUUUUAGCAGAUGCUGGAAAAGAGUACAGGGAAGGUGUCUGGUAUCAAUACGCAGGGAGUUCCAAAGUGCCACACUAAAAGAUCGAGUUCUCACAAACACAGAACUCCCUGUUAGGUCGCUGCCAGUUGGUGGCUGAGUGUGCAUUUAUUGGGUAAGGUGUUGCAAAACACAGAAAUAGUCUCCAGGGGCUUCUAGUGAGGGUAUGCUUCUGGUUCUUUUUCCUCUACUCUGCUCAUUUUUUCAGAUUUUCUAUAUUCUAAUAAACUCCUGUUCCUCCCAUUAUAUUUUACAGCUCUCUCAAAAAGACUAUUACACUACAGCAAAAUGUUGCAUAUCAGUGAGGAAUCCGCUUCACUGAUAAUAUAUCAACGGGCAGAAUGCACAGAGAGACAGCCUCAACCAAACGACUUGCACAUUAAUGAUUUCUAAAAUGCACAAGUCAAAAAUAUGUGAAAUAAACUCAUAACAUCAGAGACAGGCUGCUGCUGCAAUCCUAACCCUGCUUCCCUGCAAAUGAGCCCCAUCAAAUUCAGUAGGACUUGCUUCCGAGUAGACAUGGUUAGGAUUGCGGGCUCAGACAUGCUUGAGGUAUAAACUGCUGAAAUCAAGGGGUCUACUUUGAGCAUGAGUACACCUGGCUCUAAUCCAUGGUGGAUAUUUAAAACUCGUUCUCCUCUUUGGAAAAUCAGAAUCCCUUUUCAGAUGCUCAUUAGAUGUAAAAUGGAGGAAGGUGGUAGGAACUGGGCUAUAGCCUGGCUCUAACUCUGUGAUAGAAUCAUGUUGUUGUUGUUUAGUCGUUUAGUCGUGUCCGACUCUUUGUGACCCCCUGGACCAGAGCACGCCAGGCACUCCUGUCUUCCACUGCCUCCCGCAGCUUGGUCAAACUCAUGCUGGUAGCUUCGAGAACACUGUCCCACCAUCUCGUCCUCUGUCGUCCCCUUCUCCUUGUGCCCUCCAUCUUUCCCAACAUCAGGGUCUUUUCCAGGGAGUCUUCUCUUCUCAUGAGGUGGCCAAAGUAUUGGAGCCUCAGCUUCAGGCUCUGUGCUUCCAGUGAGCACUCAGGGCUGAUUUCCUUCAGAAUGGAGAGGUUGGAUCUUCUUGCAGUCCAUGGGACUCUCAAGAGUCUCCUCCAGCACCAUAAUUCAAAAGCAUCAAUUCUUCGGCGAUCAGCCUUCUUGAUGGUCCAGCUAUCGCUUCCAUACAUCACUACUGGGAAAAACCAUAGCUUUAACUAUAUGGGCCUUUGUUGGCAAGGUAGAAUCAUAGUGUCAUAAAAUUGCAGAAUCAGAAGGGACCCUGAGGGUCAUCUAGUCCAACCCCCUGCAAUGCAGGAAUCUCAACUAAAGCAUCCGUGACAGAUGGCCACCCAACCUCUGCUUAAAAACAUCCAACAAAGGAGUCCACAACCUCCCAAGGGAGACCAUUCCACUGUCAAUUGGCUCUUACUGUCAGAAUGUUCUUCAUGAAGUUUAGUUGGAAUCUCCUUUCCUGUAACUUGAAUCUAUUGGUUUGGGUCCGACCUUCCAGAGCAGGAAAAGACAAGCUUGUUCCCUCUUCCAUGUGAGAGUCCUUGAAGUUGUCCUGAGACCCUUCCAAUUCUCCGGCUCCUGGGAUUUUUAUUUUUUUUUUAUGAAAAUGUCUUUUAAUAGCGCUAUGCGGUUUUUACUAUCUGCAUUUGAAUAGAUUUGUAUUUUAUGCAGUUUUAAUUCCAUUAGAGUUUAAUCAUUUUUAACCAUUAUCCUUUCUAUGCUUUUUGUAUUUUUCUAGGUGUUGUUUCAAUUUGUAUAAGCCACCUUGAGUCUGGGGGGGAAAGCAGGUUAUAAAUAAAAAUAAAAUAAUCAUAAUCCCUGAAGAGUGCAGAACAGCUAACAAAGGGGAAUAGUGUGUGGACGGCCCAGUAUAAAUCCCCAGCUGGCGUACUCCUGUUGCAUCGACGAGUCAUUGCAGAAUACAAAUUGGAAGGAAACGGAGAAACCUGCAGCAGUCUGGAGGAUCCCCAUCUUGCUUAGCAGCUGAACAAAAAGGAAAUCAAGUCUCGGGCGCACGUAGCCCAGAAGUGGCAUAUUAAUUCAAAUUGCAUCAAAUUUAUGGGUUGUGACGGACCUCCAGCUGAGAUAAUGAUUGCAUUGUAAAUAAAUAAACCAAAGGAUGCGCAAUUCAGGAGCCUUUCGCUCCAAUUGCUCUUUACUUAACAGCCGUUGAUUGCCAUCUGGAACAAGCGCAAAUCUUCUCCUGCUUCAGGUGCUCAAGGGAACAGGUGAGGGUCCAAGCCGGGUGCAUCAGCCCCGCCCACAACUUACCUGUACCUGCUGGCCCCACCCCCAGCGCUCACAUGUUCAGCAUGAAGGCCCGCAGUGCGAUCCACCACAUUCAGCCGAAUGAGGUUUGAAUUCACCUUGGGUCAGGGAUUUUGACUGCGGGAAGGGCUUGUGCUUGUGGUUCCUGUAUUUCACGGGGGCUGGAUAAGUCUCUUCCAAAGCUACAGUUCUGUGAUUCUAUGAGUCCUGCAAGAAUCUCCAUUCUAAUAAAAUAAUAAUAAAAUAUAAUAAUAAUAAUAAUAAUAAUAAUAAUAAUUUAUUUGUACCCCGCCCAUCUGGCUGGGUUUCCCCAGCCACUCUGGGCGGCUUCCAACAAAGAUUAAAAAUACAUUAAAAUGUCACACAUUAAAAACUUCCCUGAACAGGGCUGCCUUCAGAUGUCUUCUAAAUGUCAGGUAGUUGUUUAUCUCUUUGACAUCUGGUGGGAGGGCGUUCCACAGGGCGGGUGCCACCCCCGAGAAGGUCCUCUGCCUAGUUCCCUGUAGCUCUGCUUCUCGCAGGGAGGGAACCGCCAGAAGGCCCUCGGAGCUGGACCUCAGUGUCUGGGCUGGACCUCAGCGUCCGGGCAAAACGAUGAGGAUGGAGACACUCCUUCAGGUAUACUGGGCCGAGGCCAUUUAGGGCUUUCAAGGUCAGCACCAACACUUUGAAUUGUGCUCGGAAACGUACUGGGAGCCAAUGUAGGUCUUUCAAGACCAGUGUUAUGUGGUCUCGGCGGCCACUCCCAGUCACCAGUCUAGCUGCCGCAUUCUGGAUUAGUUGCAGUUUCCGGGUCACCUUCAAAGGUAGCCCCACGUGGAGCGCAUUGCAGUAGUCCAAGGAGACUCAAUAUGAAUUCAUUAAAGGAGCCGGGGGGGGGGUGUUGCAUGUGCAAACACUGCCUUGCUUUAAACGCCAGUGCAUUCUUCCGAAAGCCUGAGGAGCUCUAGAAGCCCCUGCAUUCGACACUUUCCAAUGUGGUCACAAAUAUCUUUAUUUCCUUUCCAUAUAAACUGCUCUGCAGAGACCUAAUGGGGCAAGGAGGGUGAUAGGCGUACCCAGUGAUGCUCUGCAUGCUUGAUCUUUCCAUGGCUCUACAUCCUCCAGAUGUUGCUGGACUACAAAUCCCAUCAGCAUUGGCCCUGCUGCCUGAAAAGGCUGAUGGGAGUUGGAGUCCAGCUGCCAGCUGAGAUGCCCAAACACCACCCAAACCAUUGCCGUUUUAAUUAGUGAAAAAGUAAGCAGAUUCUCUUUUGCAGCUGUCACUUGAUAUUGCAAUUAUCAGGGGAAUCAGGCCUUGCAGAUAGGCCUCACUAGGAUACACAACUGGUAGAAGUUAACUCAAAGAGGAACUCUAGGAUCAGAAUUCUGAGUCGGUAGCGCCAGAUUCAGCAAAUUUGAAUUCCAAUGUUGUUCUGAUUUAUCUAUUCCGUCUCCAUCACUGCUCUGCCAGUUUUUGCUCCUCCAUUGAGUUAGUCACAGACUCAAGACCUCUUUGUCAGCUCCGCAUUCAACCACCUUCCUCCUGAAUUCUCCAACAGCCGCCAUCUGCAUAAUCCUUGUCCUAAAUCACAGCCCAACAACCACAGUGCUCGUUAGCUGCUGUUUAAUUAAGCAAUAUGGAUCCUGCCUUGAUAUUUACAAUUCCACUCGCUCUGAUUGAUUGGUGAAAAUGUCUCAUUUUUAAAUACGGCAGCCAUAAAGUUUAAUACCGCUUGACUUAUUGCAAGUUUCAUUUACCGCUCCAGAUGCCAAUCCGGCCCAACCCAAAGCUAGGAGCCGCUGGCCUAUUAAAUCAAUGCUAACUGUGCGUGCAGAAAUAGAUGAUGAGCUUCAUUACAACCGGUUUGCUGGGCAAUUAUUGAGAUCUGGAUUUACACACUCGUGCAAAUCCAACACUUCUUCUCCUGGUCUCCGUUAAAGAGGCGAGAGAGGAACAUGUGAAGAAAACAUUUCAUGCAGACCACUGCAAAGUUCUCACGCUCCGAUUCCGAAAUCGUGGACAGCUCUUUUUCAAAAAGCUCGAGAUAUAAUUACCUAGACAAGGUGCCCAUCCUAGAAACAAGGUUAUUUGUGGUUCUGGGAAGGCUGAAGAUCUUCAACAGCCAGGGAUGAAAGGGAGUUGGAGGGCUGGAACAUCUGCAAGGCCAAAGCUUCCCCCGUGGUAGAGCUUUUCGUGAGAGAUGGUGCCGUAGAGGCAGUGAUGGCCAACAUGGAAGGCUUUCAAAGAUUAGACAAAUUCAUGGAGAAGAUGGCUAUUGAUAGCUACUAGUCAGGAUGGCUCUGCUCUGCCUCUGUAGCUUCUGAAUCCAAGUUACUGGAAACCACAGGAGGGUUGUUAUGGUUUAGUCAUUUAGUCAUGUCCGACUCUUCGUGACCCCAUGGACCAGAGCAUGCCAGGCACUCCUGUCUUCCACUGCUUUCCGCAGUUUGGUCAAACUCAUGCUGGUAGCUUCGAGAACACUGUCCAACCAUCUUGUCCUCUGUCCUCCCCUUCUCUUUGUGCCCUCCAUCUUUCCCGGCAUCAGGGUCUUUUCCAGGGAGUCUUCUCUUCUCAUGAGGUGGCCAAAGUCUUGGAGCCUCAGCUUCAGGAUCUGUCCUUCCAGUGAGCACUCAGGGCUGAUUUCCUUCAGAAUGGAGAGGUUUGAUCUUCUUGCAGUCCAUGGGACUCUCAAGAGUCUCCUCCAGCACCAUAAUUCAAAAGCAUCAAUUCUUCGGCGAUCAGCCUUCUUUAUGGUCCAGCUCUCACUUCCAUACAUCACUACUGGGAAAAC